GCCUUGCUUGAUUGAAUGGAUCUGCAGAGACAGUUUCUGUAGCAACCCAGAACUUUGCCCAGCAAAAUGUCGCCCAGUCACAGGUAACACAGAACCGUAAUAAACAUCUGCCUGGGUAGCUGCAGAUGACACAGAAGUGCCAGAGUGAAAUAUAUCUGGGUUUUGAGUCCUUCAAUCUCCCAAGACCCACCAAGAUGUCAUUUCAGAAGGAGGGUUUACCAGCUCUUCUCCUGUAGCUACACUGGCAAACUUUCUAGUCGAGGCUGUUCUACAAAUCAGCUACUGAGGAGUGCGAGGCUGAUGACAGCUGAGUUGCUCUGGAGGCUUGACGAGAGCGUAAAGCUUUUCGCCCUUUGGGAGGAACCACAGAGAAACACUGUCUGCUUCGUUAAGUGAAUCUCGGCUGGAGAACAAAGGACUUCAGCUCAUGUACAGAGAGAAUGAAAAGCAGCAAGAACAUUUCUGGAUGCCUAGAGAUCCUUUUUUUCUAUUUUUGCCUAGCUAUAAAACAAUUUAAAGGAAUUUUAUUAAACUUCCCAAGAAAAUUCAGCUCAAGCAUCAACACAAGUAUGAGUAUUUUCAAGUACAACUACAGAUGUUUUGGAAUGUAACAAAUCCUUGAAAGCCUUCUUACCU